AACAUGCAGUCGAACGAGAAAGUGGAGCAUCCAUGAGUAAAGUGGCGACCGGGUGAGUAACACGUGACUAACCUACCCUACAGUGGGGGAUAACUCCGGGAAACCGGGGCUAAUACCGCAUAACAUCGUAAGAUCAAAGGAGCAAUUCGCUGAAGGAGGGGGUCGCGGCUGAUUAGUUAGUUGGUGAGGUAACGGCUCACCAAGACGAAGAUCAGUAGCCGGCCUGAGAGGGCGCACGGCCACACUGGAACUGAAACACGGUCCAGACUCCUACGGGAGGCAGCAGUGGGGAAUUUUGCGCAAUGGGGGAAACCCUAACGCAGCAACGCCGCGUGGAGGAUGAAGUCCCUUGGGAUGUAAACUCCUUUCGAUCGGGACGAUUAUGACGGUACCGGAAGAAGAAGCACCGGCUAACUCUGUGCCAGCAGCCGCGGUAAUACAGAGGGUGCAAGCGUUGUUCGGAAUUAUUGGGCGUAAAGGGUGCGUAGGCGGUGCGGUAAGUCUGUAGUGAAAUCUCUGGGCUCAACUCAGAGUCUGCUAUAGAAACUGCCGUGCUUGAGUGUGGGAGAGGUGAGUGGAAUUCCCGGGUGUAGCGGUGAAAUGCGUAGAUUCGGGGAGGGAACACCUGUGGCGAAAAGCGGUCACUGGACCACAACUGGACGCUGAUGCACGAAAAGCUAGGGGGAGCCAAACAGGAUUAGAUUCCCU
rnacentral:rRNA from 1 species